GAUGAACGCUAGCGGCAGGCUUAAUACAUGCAAGUCGUGGGGCAGCAUGUCCCGCAGCAAUGCGGGAUGAUGGCGACCGGCAAACGGGUGCGGAACACGUAUACAACCUUCCUUUAAGUGGGGAAUAGCCCAGGGAAACUUGGAUUAAUACCCCGUAAUAUAUAGAAGCGGCAUCGCUUUUAUAUUAUAGCAGCAAUGCGCUUGAAGAUGGGUGUGCGGCUGAUUAGGUAGUUGGCGGGGUAAUGGCCCACCAAGCCGACGAUCAGUAACUGGUGUGAGAGCACGACCAGUCACACUGGCUCUGAGACACGGGCCCGACUCCUACGGGAGGCAGCAGUAAGGAAUAUUGGUCAAUGGACGCAAGUCUGAACCAGCCAUGCCGCGUGGAGGAUGAAGGUCCUCUGGAUUGUAAACUUCUUUUAUCUGGGAAGAAAUCCAUUUUUUCUAAAAUGGUUGACGGUACCAGAUGAAUAAGCACCGGCUAACUCCGUGCCAGCCGCCGCCGUAAUAC
rnacentral:rRNA from 1 species